GAGAACUGAAUUGUAUUCAUACCGAGAAGCUCUAAGAUCCUCCAAGGAGACAAGCUCUCCUUGCUAGCUUUGCCUUGCUCUACUACUGAAUCUAAACUAAAGAACAAGUGUAGAAAUGUGAGGUGUAUUGCUCCAAAUGAUGGUGUGUGUGUUGAAUGGUGUGGAGCCAUCUAUUUAUAGCCCAACAACGACGGUUCAUGGCAAUCUAAAUUUGGUAGGAGGUGAAACCGUCCUAUGCAUGCCGCCAUGCAACCGCCUAAAAAAGGUGGGACCGAGUUGCCGCCACGAGGGGUGCGCCCACCUGGCCACCGCCUUCGCGUGGUCGGUUCGUCUCUGGGCCCUAAUCCUUCCCGUGGUUACGGAUGGAUCCAGUUUGGUGUUUUGGUGGCCUUUUUCAUUUAUCUUUGAUUUGUGCCUUUUCUGAAUACGCUUUCUUGAAGUGCACGUUCUUGUGUCUUUUGCGCCUUUCCACGUGUCAUACCUGAAAUUGAUAUUUGCAACAAAACUUGUGAAAAGGUUAGUUCAAAGCCCUACCAUCUAUUUAUUUUAUUUAUUAAAAUGAUGUUUAUAUUUAUAAGAUAAGGGGUACCAACAACCACCCACAUAUACGCACUACACUCUGUGCUAUUUCUAUCCUUGAGACAUGCACUUAUGCUCCUCCUACCCUGGGAGUACGCAUUCUGUUGGUAUUUCUUAUGCACAAUUAAAAUAUGAAGGAUUUCGCAAGCGCACAGAAGACCAUUGUAGCAUUUUACUGGGAGUAUUCCAGGUAUCAUUUAUUUAUAUUUUAGCACUAGGAAAUAAUGGAUAAAGAUAUUGAUAGCUCACCAUCAUGUAUCUACUAACUAAUACACCAACUAGAUUAAAGUAGGGGUAAAUAAUAGAUGAUAGGAAUUAUGAAAAUAUGACACACACCGGAGAAUUCUAUGAUAAAAGAGUAAACAGCUAAAGUGAGAGGACAACGAGAGAGUUUAAGGUUCCUAAAUACUUCUCUAUUACUAGGGUUCUAUAAUAACUAAUUCAUGGCAGGUAAAGCAAUCACACUAUGUUCCUACAACACCAAUCCAAACGUGGUGGAAUACGUCGGCCGUCAGGGCUGUCACCACCUGUGGCUACCACAACUAUCCGUAGCACUGGGUGCAAUCUCAGGUAACCUACAGUCUAGACACCAUGUCUCUGCUACAAAUUACUACUCUAGUCACAAUUAAUAACUAGAGCACCCGAUGCGAGCGGAGAUCCUAUGCUAAAGUAUAACAUCUAUACUAACCAAUAAAAUAUAAUGCAUAAAAGUAAAUAGAGAAGAUAAAAUAUAUUAAAGCAUAAGUCUUACAAGAAAAUAUACAAAGAUAUACCAGAACUCUGAUGUCUCCUCCGAAGACUCCUCCCGAAGACUCUUCCAGAACCCGAGCAUAGCGCCACUCUCCCUAACUCUCAACUAGAACUAAUCUACUAUAUUAGAAAGUUUACCCUUAAUUCUCUAGAGGUGAGAGGUCAUCCAUUCGAGGGACGCCUCUACAU
rnacentral:lncRNA from 1 species